rnacentral:rRNA from 1 species
UACAGAGGGUGCGAGCGUUAAUCGGAAUUACUGGGCGUAAAGCGUGCGCAGGCGGCUAUCCAAGUCAGUGGUGAAAGCCCGGAGCUCAACUCCGGAACUGCCAUUGAAACUGUUUAGCUGGAGUAUGAGAGAGGUGAGUGGAAUUCCCAGUGUAGAGGUGAAAUUCGUAGAUAUUGGGAAGAACACCGGUGGCGAAGGCGGCUCACUGGCUCAUUUCUGACGCUCAGGCGCGACAGCGUGGGGAUCAAACAGG